AUCGCGCUAUACACCGCAUUACAAUUUUCCAUCGCGUUCCAAUGGGGCACCUGUCUAACAGUUCCGUUACAGUGUAUUCAUAACACUAUCGAACAUGGCAAGAAAUAUGACCGCUGUCACAGGCUUCGUUUUUUCAGGUGUCACGUUGUGAAUGAAGCGGUGCGCGUGACGUGUCGAAAUUUCUUCGGUGUACAUACACAGCAUGUGCGUUCUAUGAUCUACGGAAGGCGCUAUGACAUCAAAGAAUUGAGCAAACAUCUGCAGAUCUACAGCUUCCUGUCAGUUUCAGAGGAACUAAUACGAUGGAAUCGAAGUAAAUGAAAAUACACGUGCUACCUGAAACACUUAUUUACUGAAAACGGUAGCCAUGGAUUUUUGAUGUGGAGUAACCAAGUCAAUGUUAUGAAGAAUAAAGAUUCUAAGUAUAUUUAAAUAAUAAAACAUAUGCGAC